rnacentral:rRNA from 1 species
GUGUGCAAAGGUAGCAUAAUCAUUUGUCUUUUAAUUUGAGACUGGAAUGAAAGGUUAGACUAUGUAAUAUUGUCUUAUAAUAAUAUUUUGAAAUUUAUGUUUUAGUAAAAAAGCUACAAUUAUUUUUAAAGACGAGAAGACCCUAUCAAGCUUUACAAUUUUAAUUUAUUUUCAAGUUAAACUAAAAAUUGUUUUGCUGGGGCAGCAGAUAAAAAGUUUUUAUUUUUAUAUUGUGAUUAAUAAAUCUUGAAAAAUCAAGAAAUUUUUAAACAAGAAUAAGUUACUGUAGGGAUAACAGCAUAAUUUUUUUAAAGAGUUCUUAUCAUCAAAAAAGUUUGUGACCUCGAUGUUGGAUUAAGAGUCCUUAUUCAUGCAAUAAGAAANAAGNAAGCCGGNNGNCUNAAAAGNGGNUANAA